GACGAACGCUGGCGGCGUGCUUAACACAUGCAAGUCGAACGGAAGGGCCCUGCUUUUGUGGGGUGCUCGAGUGGCGAACGGGUGAGUAACACGUGAGUAACCUGCCCUUGACUUUGGGAUAACUUCAGGAAACUGGGGCUAAUACCGGAUAGGAGCUCCUGCUGCAUGGUGGGGGUUGGAAAGUUUCGGCGGUUGGGGAUGGACUCGCGGCUUAUCAGCUUGUUGGUGGGGUAGUGGCUUACCAAGGCUUUGACGGGUAGCCGGCCUGAGAGGGUGACCGGCCACAUUGGGACUGAGAUACGGACCAGAGUCCUACGGGAGGCAGCAGUGGGGAAUAUUGCACAAUGGGCGGAAGCCUGAUGCAGCAACGCCGCGUGCGGGAUGACGGCCUUCGGGUUGUAAACCGCUUUCGCCUGUGACGAAGCGUGAGUGACGGUAAUGGGUAAAGAAGCACCGGCUAACUACGUG
rnacentral:rRNA from 1 species